GGUCGGGUGGUGUAGUUGGUUAUCACAUCUCGUAGGGCUCCCCAAUCCAACCUAGGCUUCGGCUUCUUCACAAUCUCUAACAGCCUAUGCAGGUUAACAGUCUCACAACUGUAACAAUAAACCGAGAAGGUCCUGGGAUCGAGCCCCAGCCUGAUCA